rnacentral:rRNA from 1 species
GCUUGUCUCAAAGAUUAAGCCAUGCAUGUCUAAGUAUAAACGAUUCUAUACUGUGAAACUGCGAAUGGCUCAUUAUAUCAGUUAUAGUUUAUUUGAUAGUCCCUACUAUUUGGAUAACCGUAGUAAUUCUAGAGCUAAUACAUGCGUAAAGCCCCGACUUCUGGAAGGGGCGUAUUUAUUAGAUACAACCAGCCCUUCGGGUUUUUGGUGAAUCAUAAUAACUGAACGAACCGCAUGCGCGAGCGGCGGUGGUUCAUUCAAGUUUCUGCCCUAUCAGCUUUCGAUGGUAGGGUAUUGGCCUACCAUGGCGUUAACGGGUAACGGAGAAUUAGGGUUCGAUUCCGGAGAGGGAGCCUGAGAGAUGGCUACCACAUCCAAGGAAGGCAGCAGG